rnacentral:rRNA from 1 species
UUGGAAACUGGGGAACUUGAGUGCAGAAUAAGAGAGUGGAAUUCCCCGUGUAGCGGUGAAAUGCGUAAAGAUGUGGAGGAACACCCGUGGCGAAGGCGACUCUCUGGUCUGUAACUGACGCUGAGGAGCGAAAGCGUGGGGGGCGAACAGGAUUAUAUACCCUGGUAGUCCACCCCGUAAACGAUGAGUGCUAAGUGUUGGGGGGUUUCCGCCCCUUAGUGCUGCAGCUAACGCAUUAAACACUCCGCCUGGGGAGUACGGUCGCAAGACUGAAACUCAAAGGAAUUGACGGGGGCCC